rnacentral:rRNA from 1 species
CACGUAGGCGGGUUGUUAAGUCUGCUGUGAAAACCCGAGGCUCAACCUCGGGCCUGCAGUGGGUACGGGCAGGCUAGAGUGCGGUAGGGGAGAUUGGAAUUCCUGGUGUAGCGGUGGAAUGCGCAGAUAUCAGGAGGAACACCGAUGGCGAAGGCAGAUCUCUGGGCCGCUACUGACGCUGAGGAGCGAAAGCAUGGGGAGCGAACA